CGUCAGAGCCCUCUUGAAAUCCGCGCACCGAUCCCCCAUAUUGUCGAUAUGGUUGUAAUUCCGGCAAUCUGGAGGCGUUCUGGACAGGGGUUCGAUUCCCCUCACCUCCACCUAAGUGCAUCGGAGUGUGCUUAGGUGGGGGUGUACCGGUUUCGACAGGGCGGGCGAAGGUGAGCAGGCAACCCGAGAGGCGACGGACGUAAUCCGCGCAAAUCUGUAAACGCCAACGAUGAGCGUUUCGCACUGGCCGCUUAAGGUCGGAGCCGGGGCCGCUGAAGCCUUGUAACCCAAGACAGCCGGCGGGGACUUCGGUCCCCGUCGUCA
rnacentral:tmRNA from 1 species